UCUGGAUCUGAUUUCGCAAACAACACAGUGCGCGCGCACACAUACAGAGUCUCUCUCUCUGUGCUCUAUCUCAACAGUUGUAUGGGUACUUUGUUCUUUUGUCUUCUUUUAUCACAUAUCUCUCUCUCUCUCUCUCUGCGUUUGCUAGAUUUUCUUUCCUUUUUCUAAUGCCAUUGAAGAUUCCUUUCGUACUCUCUUGGACUUGUUGCUCUCACUCCUUCAUGGAGCCUGUUCAGAUGACCACCAAAGUUUCUUCAUGCAAAUCGUUCUCAAUUCCAUUACAAGCUAAACUUAAUAAAUUCAGAGUGAUUGGGCAAGUGGGUUUUGCUCCUUUGUGGAGCAGAAGAAGUAGACGUGGGUGUUUGAGGCUUGGAGCAUCAAUUUCUGGUAGUGGGAUUGGUGGUUCGCAAGAUGCUGUCGAAGAGGAAAAACAGGAAAAGGGUCUCAUACUGGGCACAGAGAGGGAUGGCUCUGGCUCUGUUAUCGAGUUUCACUUGAUUCCUCAAUCCGGUGAAGUUGAAGUCAAUGAAGUCAACUCCGUCAAAGACAUAAAUAUUAAUAGCUUGGAAGAAGCUGAGGAGAUAGAAGGAGAAGGGAAGGCCCGGGCAAGAGUAACCUACAAUAUUGUUUUAGUUACUGCUGAAGCGGCACCAUAUUCAAAGACUGGGGGCUUGGGAGAUGUUUGUGGUUCUUUGCCUAUAGCAUUAGCAGCUCGCGGACACCGUGUUAUGGUUGUCUCUCCUAGAUAUCUGAAUGGUUCUACUGCAGAUAAGAACUUUGCUAGUGCUGUUGAUUUGAAGCGCCGGAUUAAGUUAUAUUGCUUUGGAGGGGUGCAAGAAGUUGACUUCUUCCAUGAGUAUAGGGAUGCUGUUGAUUGGGUAUUUGUUGACCACCCCUCAUACCAUAGACCUGGAACUCUAUAUGGGGAUACUCGUGGUGCUUUCGGAGAUAAUCAGUUUCGGUUCACUUUACUUUGCCAUGCAGCAUGUGAAGCUCCACUAGUGCUUCCAUUGGGAGGGUUCACUUAUGGCGAGAAAUGUCUGUUCCUUGCCAAUGAUUGGCAUGCAAGCCUUGUGCCAGUGUUAUUGGCAGCCAAGUAUCGUCCAUAUGGAGUCUAUAAAGAUGCUCGCAGUAUUCUUGUAAUCCACAACCUUUCACAUCAGGGAGUGGAAUCCGCAGAAACAUACAAGAAUUUGGGACUUCCUCCAGAGUGGUAUGGAGCCCUGGAAUGGGUAUUUCCAACAUGGGCAAGGACACAUGCUCUUGACCCAGGUCAAGCAGUCAAUCUUCUGAAGGGUGCAGUUGUGACAGCUGAUCGUUUACUGACUGUUAGCCAGGGCUAUUCCUGGGAAAUAACAACGGUUGAAGGUGGAUAUGGUCUACAUGAGUUGCUAAGUGAUCGAAAGAGUGUUAUUAAUGGGAUCACAAAUGGGAUUGAUGUUGCUGAAUGGGACCCAUCUUCAGACGAGCAUAUCCCUUACCAUUAUUCUGUUGAAAAUAUUUCUGAGAAGGUUCAAUGCAAGACUGCUUUACAGAAAGAACUGGGUCUUCCCAUUAGGCCUGAUUGCCCAUUGAUUGGGUUUAUUGGGAGACUGGACUACCAGAAAGGCAUCGACUUGAUCCGGUUGGCAAUUCCAGAGAUAAUGGAAGACGAUGUACAAUUUAUUAUGCUUGGCUCUGGGGAUCCGAUGUUUGAAGAUUGGAUGAGAGCAACAGAGUUAGCUUAUAAAGAAAAAUUUCGGGGUUGGGUUGGAUUUAGUGUCCCGAUUUCUCAUAAGAUAACUGCAGGCUGUGACAUACUGUUGAUGCCCUCGAGGUUUGAGCCCUGUGGGCUAAAUCAAUUGUAUGCAAUGAGAUAUGGAACUGUGCCUGUUGUUCAUGACACUGGGGGACUCAGAGAUACUGUAAAAAAUUUCAAUCCAUAUGCUCAGGAAGGCAAAGGUGAAGGUACAGGAUGGACUUUCUCUCCUCUGACAAAAGAGAGCAUGUUGGCAGCUUUAAAAACUGCUGUUCGGACUUAUAGAGAGCACAAGCCUUCUUGGGAGGGAUUGAUGAGAAGAGGGAUGCAGAGGGACUGCACAUGGGAAAAUGCAGCCAUUCAAUAUGAACAGGUGUUUGAAUGGGCAUUUAUCGAUCCACCUUAUGUCAGGUCAAAUUAAAAGAGCAGAAAGAACUAAGAAGGGUGCCAGAAAAAAGAAGAAACAAACAAACCUCCAGCUUUUUCCUUAGUUCAGUCUUACAUCAGAGCAAUUCAUUGUCAUACCAGCGUGGAAACUACACGUGCGAAACGUUCUUUUUCCAUUCCCACUUAAAGGCUUUUGUGUUCUUGAGAGUUUUAGCUUGGUUUCUGUCCAGAAGUUAUAGAAGAUCGAACCGGUUUCCUUCUUUCCAGAGAAUCUAUAAUCAAAGGGUGGAUCAUCUGCAGCUCGGGGGUAUUGCGGAGGGAGGAUUCUCUGUGGCGAUCAGUGAUAAUGUGUCAAAGGCCUUACACAGAGGCAUCCAAGGUUCAAGUUUGAUAUUCUAUAAUAAGAAAUGAUAUUUGCAGUUAUAUAGUGUGCAAUGGCCGUAUACUUUUCUUGAAAAGAGUGAGUAAAUAUAAGAUUCAUAUGAAAAAAUUAAUUUUUUAUAGGUAGGUUGUACUCCCUUUCAAAAAAAGUUUACAGUACUUGCAUAACUCAUGACUGUAUCCAUUAAUAUUCUGGUAUAAGUUUCAAAUGUGUAAGUCUUGUGCACGCCCUUUGUAAAAAAGUGAAUUUCGCUUAUAAAAAUAGCUUUUUUUUAAUA